AUGAGUUGCCUAAAAGAAGUUCCGACACUCAGAGGUGACAACCACACUGACUGGAGGAAGAAAGUUGAACUGACAUUUGUUUGUGCUGAUCUGGACUGGGUUCUGAAAGAACCACAACCGGUCAGACCUACAGAGCCAGUAAGAGAGACUACUGAGGAUGAUGCUGCAUGGGCUAAAAGAAAAAGGGAUUAUGCUCCUUUGGAGAUGUCCUACAUCAUAGCCAACCAAAAGUGGGUCAAUGCAAAUAAAAAAUGCAUGGCCUUUAUAAAGAAUACAAUUAAGAGCAUCGUUGUGAGCUCCAUUGCAGAGUGCGCUUCAGCUGCGGAGUUGCUGACAAAGAUAAAGAGCCAGUUCACUGGCUCUUCAAAGAUAUAUGCCACCCAGGUGUUAAAACAACUUAUGACGGAAUAA
rnacentral:rRNA from 1 species